rnacentral:tRNA from 1 species
UAGCUCAGUCUGUAGAGCAUGAGACUCUUAAUCUCAGGAGCAUGGGUUCAUGCCCCAC